rnacentral:rRNA from 1 species
GACGAACGCUGGUGGCGUGCUUAACACAUGCAAGUCAAACGGUUUUGCAAAACAAAACAGUGGCGGACGGGUGAGUAAUAUGUAAGAAUCGACAUUUAGGAGAGGGAUAACAAUUGGAAACGUUUGUUAAUACCUCAUAUUGCUUUUUAGUGAAAGAUAUUUCGCCUAGAUACGAGCUUGCAUCUGAUUAGCUAGUUGGUUAGGUAAUGGCUUACCAAGGCGACGAUCAGUAGCUGGUUUGAGAAGAUGAUCAGCCACACUGGGACUGAGACACGGAACAGACUCCUACGGGAGGCAGCAGUGAGGAAUUUUCCGCAAUGAGUGAAAGCUUGACGGAGCAAUGCCGCGUGGAGGAAGAAAGCCCUAGGGUUGUAAACUCCUUUUCUCAUCGAAGAAGUUAUGACGGUAUUUGAGGAAUAAGCAUCGGCUAACUCCGUGCCAGCCGCCGCUGUAA